rnacentral:rRNA from 1 species
GUGCCAGCCGCCGCGGUAAUACGGAGGGUGCGAGCGUUGUCCGGAAUCAUUGGGCGUAAAGGGCGCGUAGGUGGCCCGGUCAGCGUGCGGUGAAAGCUCGGGGCUCAACCCCGAGUCGGCCGUGCGAACUGCUGGGCUCGAGCACUGUAGAGGCAGGCGGAAUUCCGGGUGUAGCGGUGGAAUGCGUAGAGAUCCGGAAGAACACCGGUGGCGAAGGCGGCCUGCUGGGCAGUAGCUGACACUGAGGCGCGACAGCGUGGGGAGCAAACAGGAUUAGAAACCCCCGUAGUCC